AUACGGAGGAUCCGAGCGUUAUCCGGAUUUAUUGGGUUUAAAGGGUGCGCAGGCGGCCAUUUAAGUCAGCGGUUAAAUCGUGGGGCUCAACCCCAUUCUGCCGUUGAUACUGGGUGGCUUGAUUGCGGUCGAGGUUGGCGGAAUUCGUUGUGUAGCGGUGAAAUGCAUAGAUAUGACGUAGAACACCGAUUGCGUAGGCAGCUGACCAGACCGCAAAUGACGCUCAUGCACGAAAGUGCGGGGAUCGAACAGGAUUAGAUACCCUGGUAGUCCGCACAGUAAACGAUGAAUACUUGUUUUCGGCGAUAUAAUGUCGGAGGCAAAGCGAAAGCGAUAAGUAUUCCACCUGGGGAGUACGCCGGCAACGGUGAAACUCAAAUGAAUUGACGGGG
rnacentral:rRNA from 1 species